GGACCUACAACUAAAAUACCCAGCUAUAUACUGGGGGGAUUUGGGGAGAAAAAGCAGAAGAAAAAAAAAUUGCAAGUUGAAGUUGAUUACUCAUUGCACAUUUUAAAUUGGAUUUGGAAAGCUGAACUCUUAGUCUAAUAGGCCAGACUUUUGCAAAUAUUAUAAAUACCAGAAAUUUUUAAAGUAUGCACAAAUUGCCUGUUGCCAAAUUAUUUUUUAUUGAGAGAUAAAGUACGUAAACAUGUUACCAUUUAAAGAAAUAUUUUAAUUACCAAGGACAAGAUGUAGGACAUUUCAGGCAUCCCCAGAAACCUCUAUGUUCCCUACUCCAGUUAAAUUCUCUCCCUCACGUUACCAUUAUUCUGACAUCUCUAACAAUCGUUCGUUUGCUGUUGGUGACAGUUUGACCUAUGAAUGCAUCUAGUUUAGUUUUGCCUGUUUGUGUAUUUUAUAGAAAUGGAAUUAUACCACAUAUAUUCUUUUGUGACUUGCUGCUUUUACUUAAUGUUAUCUUUGAAGUUCAUCUCUGUUUUUGCCUGUAGCUAUAGUUUAUUCAUUUUCCUUGUUGUGUAUUAUUGCAUGUAUUGAUGUGAUACCGUUUAAUUAUCCCCCUUUUUUAUUGUUGAUAGACGUUUGGGUUGUUUUCAGUGUGUGGCUUUUAAGAGCUGUGAAGCUAUGAACACUCUUGUUUUCUCCUGGUAAAUAUCUGCAAGUUUCUCUAGGGUACGUGCCAAGGAGUGGAAAUUUUUGGUCAUAGAGUAUAUGCUUCUUAGACAAGGUCAGACUGUUUUCCAUAAUGACUGUACACAUUUAUAUUCUCACAAGGAGUUCAUAAGAGUUCUUGUUCCUCCAUAUCCUCACUAAUACUGUUGUCAGACUUUUAAAUUUUUGCCAGCUGUGUGAAUGGUGAUAUUUCCUUGUGAAUUUCAUUUACAUUUUCCUGAUUACUAUGAGAUUGAUUAUCCUUUCUUAGGUUUAUUGGUCACUUAGAUUUCUUCUUUUGAGAAAUAUCUUUACAAAUUGCCCAUUUUUUCUGUUGGGGUGUCUAUCUAGUUUCUUAUUGACUUAGGAAUUCCACUAAUCCUUAGAUUUUAUACUUACACGUAUAGUCUACUUUGUAACUCUAUUUUCUACUUGCUUUAUGGUGAUUCUUGAUGAACAGUUCUUAAUGUAAUCAAAUUCAUCCUUUUGAACUUCCUAAGGUCAUUUUGUGGCAAAUAUUCUUGUUUGUCUGAAGGCAUCUUUAUUCAUCUAAUUCUUGAAGGUUGUUUUCACUGGGUAUGGAAUUCUGUCUAGAUUAGCAGUUAUUUUUCCGCUGCAUGUUGAAGCUGUUAUUCCACCGUUUCCUGCCUCAUUCUUCCAAAUUUAACUGUUGCUCAUUUUAAAAUAAGCUGUUCUAUAUUUUCUAGCUGCUUUAAAGAUAUUUAUCUUUAUCUCUAGUUUUCUAAAGUUUUACCAUAAUAUAUCUAGAUAAGAAUUUCUCUUUUAUCAUUUUCAAGUUUGAGAUCUCUGCUGGGCUCCUAGAAAUUUCCUAGCCAUUGUCUCUCACCUAUUUAUUCUGCUUCAUUUUCUCUCUCUCAUUCUUUUGGAACUCUGGUUAAAUGUGUGUUAAAUGCUUCUCGCUGCGUCCUCUAGAUUUUUUACCUUAUCUUUUCCAUUUUCCAUCUCUUUUCUCUUGGUGCUACAUUUUAGAUAGUUUCCUUUGACCUAUCUUCCAGUUUACUAAUUUUCUCAGCUACUGUUAAACCUCAUCCACUGAAGUCUUAAUUUGGGUUAUAUUUUUCAGAUCUAGAAUUUCUGUUGGUUCUUUUUCAGAUAUGGUUUUUAUUGUUUUCUAGUAACCUAUUAUUUCUUUGAAUAUGGCCUACAUAAUUAUUUUUAUGUUCUGCUUCUGAUAAUUUCAGGAUCUGAAAUAAUUGUGGGUCUGAGUUUAUUGAUAUUCCUUUUUCUGCUUGUUCAUGCCGUCUUGUUUUCUUGUCUGCCUGUAUAUUUAACAACGUGCUGGACAUAAUAUUUGGAAACACUUGUAGAACUAUUUUCAGGCCCAGGAUAGUAUCUUUCCCCAUAGGAUUUUCAUUUACUUCUGCCUUGCACCUAGAGGUACUACCAGUUUAGAACACCUUAAUGCAAGUUCAAGGUUUGUGUUUUCUUGUUCUGUCCAGAUCACCCAAAGUCAGGCUAUAAGAGCUACAUCAUGGGAAGGCUUGUAUACCUCUGGUUCAGUUUUUACCUUGUGAAUGUAGUUUUGUUCUGCUUGGCCCCACAAGGCCGUCCAAAGUGCAGCUUAGUUUCCUGGCUAUUCCUUCCAGAUAGGAUGUGGCCUCAGGGCAAAAAUAAAAGGUUUCAUUACUAGGUGUCCCUGCUGGGUUUUUGUUCUUCUCUUGAGUUUAACUUGAUAAUUCUUCACCGUCUUGUUAUUUCUCUGAUGCUUCUGUGAUGUUUUUGUUUUUUAUUAAUCCAACCUUUUUAGUUGACCUCAGUGAGAGGGAAUUUAUCAAGAUUACCUAGUUCACCAUUAUCAGAAUCAGAAGUCUUUUAUAUUUCUGAGAGCAGUGAUUUUUGUAUGUUUUGUUCAUUUAUGUUUUCCUAGAAGAGUUCUAGUAUAUAGUGUGGAUCCAUUCAAGAUUCACUGAGUGAUUAAGUGAAUAAACCAUUAUUUUUAAGCAAAUUUAAAUACUUUAUGGGGUACAUUCCCUUUUGUUUUUCUUCUUAAAAAUAAAUUUUGACUAUUCUUAAAGCAUUUUUCUCUCCCGGGUGUUUUAGAAUUAGUCAAAUUCCAUUUGAACCCUGAGACUUUGCUUGUCACUACACUGAAUUUAUAAAGUAAUUUGUGGAAAAUGGGAAAAUAUAAGUCUUCCCUUUUAGGAACAUGGUGUGUUUUCCUGUUUAUCUUCAUCUUCUAUGUCUUAUAGGAAAGUCUUAAAUAGUUUUCUUUGUAAAGAAUUACACACUUAAAAAUUUAUUUCUAUAUAUUUUAGUUUUUGUUGCUCUUGUGAAUAGGUUUUUACCAAAAUUUUCUAAUUGAAUAUUGCUGACAUAAAGGGAAACUAUUGAUUCUCUGUAUGGAAGUCUUAUAACUCUCACAUUGCUGAACUCUCUUAUUCUAAUAUUUUUUCAGUCAAUUCUCUUGAAAUUUCAGAGUAGCCCAUCAUAUCAUCUACAAAUUGUGACAUUUAUCUCUUACUUUCCAGUAGUUAUCCCUAGUUUUUUUGUGUGUUCUUGCGUUAUCCAGGAUCUCCAGUACAAUAUUUAAAUCUUAGUGAUGAUAGCUGACAUUCUUCUCUUGUUCGUUAUUGUCAUAGGGAUGCUUGUGUUUCAUCACUAAAUGUAAUUUUGCUGAAAGUUCUUGUAGACACAAUUUAUUGAGAUAAAAAAGAGUAUUUCUUAUUGGAUAAGAGUUUUUCCGUGCUUUGUUUUUAAUAAAAAAUGGACUAUCGAUUUUAGCAAAUGUUUCUUCUGCCUCUGUUGAGAUUUUCGUGUGAUUUUUCUUCUUGAAUCUGUUGAUGUCAGUAAAAUACAUUAAUAAGCUUUUAAACAUUGAGCCAUCCUUAAAUUUCUCCGUAGUCCUGAUGUGUUGCUUAAUACUGUGACCUUGAUGAUUGCUUCUAUUGCAUUGAAGAAUUUUUUCAUGUAUAUCUAUUAGUGAUAUUGGCCUUUUCUUUUGCUAUAUUGGUCUGGGUUUGUUAUCCUAGUUAUGGCUAACUUCAUAAAAUGAAUUGGUAAGUUUAAAUUUGCCUGUGCUCUGAAUGAGUUUUCAUAACAUGUACAAUUUUGCCGCCUUUCUUUGUCUUUUUUUUUGUGGGCAGGAUUGACUCUGAGCUAACGUCUGUUGCCAGUCUUCCUCCAUUUUAUGUGGGAUGCUGCCACAGUGUGGUUUGACAAGUGGUGCUAGAUCAGCGCCCAGGAUCCAAAUCUGGGAACUCCAGGCUGCAGGAGCGGAGUGCAAGAACUUAACCACUACACCACUGGACUGGCCCCAGUUUUGCUUUCUUAAAGAUUUGAUAGUACUCAUCUAUAAACUGUUACCUUUGAGAGAGAAAUCUUUUGAGUACUUUUACUAUUUCUUUUAUAAUCACAGGUUAUUAGAUUUUUUUCCUUUCUUUGAGCCAGUUUUAUGUUUUCCUAGAAGAAUGUCUGUUUCUUCCAGAUUUUCUAAAAUUUUGUAAUAGUUUGUACAUAAUAUUCUCUUACAAGUUAUUUGAUCUCCAUAUCUGUCAUUGUUCCCUCACAUUAUUAGUGUUUAUUUCUAGCUUACCUUUUUCUCUUAGUUAAACUUACUGAAGGUUUCAUUUAUUUUUGUUAGUCUUUUCAAGAACCUGCUCCUGGUAUUUUAUUCAUAAACUCUACUUUUCUACCUUCCACAACUUAAGGCUUAUUUUCAAGCCUUUCUAGUUUUCUAAAGUACAUGUAAGGCUACAUAUUUUUCUGUGCAUAUCAAUUUGACCAUAUCCCAUGGAUGUAGAUAUAUAAAGCUAUCAUCCUGGUUUAUUUUUUAUCUUGCAUUUAAACUUUGAUUUCCUUUUUAACCAAUUUCUACCUUUUGGGAAUUUGUUGGAAUUUUCUGUGUGAUCUAAGAUACACAGUUACUUGUUAGCAGUGUCUCACAUGUUUGAAAAACAAUAUAUAAUCUCUGAGUUUAGGGGUACAGAAUUAUAUAAAAAUAUUUUUAUAUAUGAUUUAUAUCAUCCAUAUAUUCAGGGUUUAAAUGAUGGCAUUUAAAUUAUAUCAUACUCAUAUGUUAUGUAUUUCACCUCUCAGAUUCUGUGAAAGUAUGUUAGGAUCCCAAUAUGAUUACUACUGUAUCCAUUUCUCUUCAUCCUCAGUUUUAGCUUUCUGCUUUUCUAGUCAUUGUUCUUAAGUAUAUAAAGGUCCAUGACUAUUGAAUGUACUUGGAUUCAACAGAAAUACAGAAAAAACCCUAUUUUUAAUUUUUUUACCUGAUAUGUCUUUUUUUCCCCUCCUUUCUGAUGUCAUUUUAUUUUAGGUUUGCCUUUUGUCAAUGAUGUACAGCUAGAUUUUCCUAUUAUUUCACCCAAUUUGAGAUGAAAGUGAAUGUAACCAUUCAUAUUUUUGUGCUUAUGCAUAUGUUUACACUUAUUCUUGUAUAUUGUUUCUCGUAUAUUCUUGCCAUAUUAUUGUAUACUUUCUAUGUAUGGUGCUUUCUUAGUGUUUCUUUUCCCUUCCCAUCUUUCAUUGGAUUGAGUUUUCUUGGUUAGUUUUUUAUACCUAUAUUUGUAUGCGGUCAUAUAGGGCAAAGAAAAAUAUGUCUUUGCUUAGAUAAUACAGGUAGUUUUAUAGAUUUUCUUGUAAUGUUUUUUUCAAAUUCAGUCUUUGCUAUGCUCUGAAUUUUGUAUCCCCCCAAAAUUCAUAUGUUGAAAUCCUAACCCCAAAGGUGAUGGUAUUAGCAGAUGAGGCCUUGGGGUGAUGAAGAUGGAGCCCUCAUGAAUGGGAUUAUGCUUUUAUGGAAGAGAUCCCACAAAGCUCACUGGCCCCUUCCACUAUGUAAAACUGUCUGUAACCCAUAUGAGGGCCCUCGCAUCCUGAUCUUGGACUUCCAGCCUCCAGAGCUAUGAGCAGUGUUUGUUGUUUAUAAGCUACCCUGUCAGUGGUGUUUCCUUAUAGCAGCACAAAUGGACUAAGAUAGUCUUUAAUCCAUUUGAAAUUUAGUUUUGCUCAUGGUGUAGCAUAGGUGUCCAUUCUUCUCUUCUUCAAAAUAGAUAACCAGCUAUACCAACACCAUUUUUUAAAUGGUUCUUUGUUUCCCAACAAAACGGAACCACUACCUUUGUCACAUAUUGUGUAACCUGGGACCUACAUCUGGAAUCUCUGUUCUGUUCAACUAUUCUUUCUGUCUUUUUCUAAAUCAAUACCGUAUUUAUUGGAUUACAGGGGUUUUUUGUACUAUGUUUUGAUAAAUGGCAGAGCAAAGUUCCCCCUCCUUCUUUAGAAUGCAUUUACCUCCUCACUGUGCUCUCACAGUAAGAUCUUCAGAGUGAUUUUGCUACCCUGCUCUUUGUUUCAAAAGUUUUACGUCUCUAUUUUCACUACCUUGAGAAGUCAGUCCUCAUCCAUUUACAUUUAAUUUUACAUGGCUGACUGGUGUUUCCUUUGCUCUUAUUUAAUCUUGAGGUCUCUUUUCUAGUUUGUUUUAUACUUUUGCUCUGAAAGAUGGCUAAUAAAUUGACUGAGUAAAGGGUCCUUGGAGGCAGUCCUCUUCCCUCAGGAUGGAGAGAUGCUCUUUGUCUCAGGAUGUGUAGACUGGCUAUUUCAUUGCCAGUCUGACUUUUUUCCUUUUAAGUAACUUGUUAUUUCUUUCUGGAUGUUCAUAAGAUUUUCUCUUUAUCCUUAGAGUUCAGGAACUUUUGCCAAGUGUGCUUUUCUCAUCAGUGCAGCCUAGAACUUAGUGAACAGACUCCAGUCUUUCUCUAACUCAGCUCGUUGAAUUCAGAUCUCUUUAUUGGGAUAAGCCUACAUGUUAAUAGUCCUCCAAGCAGUGAAAAGUCAAGUGGCAGUCCCUGCUGAGGUACCUGAACAACGUCCCUCAUCUCCCUGAGCGCCCUGUGGUCUCUCAGCCUCAAAGGCAGGGAGGAUUCAGUCUCCCUAUUCAGUUCCUUUUUGAGCUUGGAAAAGAUGCAGUACGCUUACAUAGACGCCAGGUAUCCCUCACAGUCAGGCUCUCCCCAGGGUCCAGCACCCUCUGAUCCUCACCCCUGAGCUUCAAGACACGGAGAAGAAAGUUCUAUAUCAGUUCCCUUUUCUCUCAGACAGGACCCCAAGAGAACCCCAAGCCUCACUCACAUUUACACCAGUUACCUGUAAGUCUGAGCAUCCGUUUGGCUUAGGAAAAGGGAACUCUGUUGAAAUCACCCCUGUUCCCCUAAUUUCCUCACCCUUGAAACUUUAUUAACUUAAUUUUAAUAAGCAUUGACUUCAAUCAAUAUCUAUAUCUUUUUCCUCCAACAAUUAAAGAACCUCAGCAUGCUUUGCUUCUCUCCCAUUCAGGAACCAAUUUUUUUUGUUGAUCACCUGAAAUUUGGCUUCCAUAUUAUUUUUUUAAUUUAAUCGUAUUGAAUCUCAACCCUUCGAUACACAUCCUUUAAUAGUCCAUGUGAAGAACACAUAAAGCAUUUCAGCUGCAUACUGAAGUACGGUGGUUGCCUCAAAAAAAAGCGCUUGUAUGUAAUUGUUUGAGCUCCAAGCUGGUCUAGUUGCCUUUUUCCUGGAACUCUUUUUUUCUAUUGGGGUAAAAUUGAUAUAAAAUUAACCACUUUAAAUGAUUUAGUGCAUUCACAAGGUUGUACAAUAGUCACCUCUGUCUAGUUCCAAACUAUUUUCAUUACCCCACCCUUGUGCAUACGUAGUUGCUCCCUAUUCUCCCCUACCCCCAGUCCCUGGCAAUACCAAUCUGCAUUUUCUCUCAAUGAAUUUACCUAUUCUACUUCUCUAUUAUUUUUUAAUCAAUACUUUUUAUUUUCACUCAAAUUUUUAUUAGUUUCUUUGUCCUCCAUGGUUUUAUCUAUGCAUUUCUUCCUCUUGGAAUUAUUUCUUUUGUUGGAAUAUAUUCUCAAGGAAAUUUUUUCAGAAAGGGCUUAUGGAUGAUAAGCUCUCUGAGUCUUUGUACAUCUGAAGAUGUAUUUAUUUCCAGUUUGGGUGGGGAUAGAAUUCCCUUAGACUUCUGAAAAUAUUGUUCCAUUGUCCUCAUAUCAAGUAUCAUGGAUAGUCUGGUACCAAUCUGAUUUAAUUCCUUUGUCAAUCAUUUUUUUUCCCCUCUGGAAAUUUUAAGAUUAUCUUUUUAUCCUUAAUGUUCUGAAAGUUCACCAGGAUAUGUCUUUGUUUUUUAUUCAUCCUGCUCAGCACUUUUUGGACUCACUCAGUUUGAGGACUUAUGUCUAUUUUCAGUUCUGGGAUGUUUAUUUUUAUUAUUUCUUCACUUAUCUUUUUAAAUUCUUUCUGUUCUAUCCUUAUGGAACUUCUUUAGGGUAGAUAUUAGAACUCCUGAGUCUGUCUUCCAUGUCUCUUUCUUUUACACUUUCAUCCCCUUGUCUUUUGCACUGGGCUCUGGGAGAGUUCCUUCACUCAGUCUUCCAGCACACAACUUAAAGCUAUGUUCAUUCUGCCAAUCAGCCUAUCUGUUGAGUUGUUUUGGGGUUUGGUGUUUUGGUUUGUUUACUUUUUGGCACUCACACUUUUUAUUUCUAAGAUCUUUAAUUGUUUUUAUUAAGAGCCUAUUUUGUUUCAUGGAUGUGAUUUCCUCUUGGCAUUCUCAAGAUACUAAUUGUAUAUAUUUUUAAGUCUUCUUUUUGCUCUAUUAAUUAUUUUCUCAGGAAUAAGUUCUAUUUGUUGAGUGUGAUGCCCUUCUUUCAUGGUGUUGGUUUCCCUCAUAUCUUUGGUGGGUUCUUGCUUUUUUACUCAUCUAUCGUUUCAAAUUCCUUAUUAGCCUUUCUGCAAAUGUUCCAUUAAUUUAGCCUGUUUCUGGUGAUUAUAGGGAAAGAGUGCAACUACUAUCGAGUCUUCUAGAAGUGUAGACUUCAUUUUGUUUUUGGUAUUGUAGAGCAAUACCAUGCCUCUGCCAUGGCUGAACCAAAAGCAGCCCAACCUCUGAGCCCUUCGCACCUUUUGUAGCGGUCUGCUCAUUCAUAGUUUGGGUUAAGAUUUCUUCCUUCAGUUAGAUUUCAUUUGCCUUGUUUUUUCAGAUAUUGCUCAUAAUUUCUGAUUAAUCAAAAUACACCUUCUUCUUUCCCAACACUGUUAUAGACUUUUAAAUUUUUUCUUUAUGUCAGUUUUUAGGAAUUAGAGGAUCCUGAAGUGUAUAGUAUAUUCAGUCUAGAUCUUGAUCCAAAUUUCAGGAGCUAAUCCAUAAAUUAUUGUGAAUACAUAACCUUCCUAAUUUCCCCCAUAUCACUUCUUUAGUGAUUUCUUAGUCAUUGGUAAACUUAUUAGUAAAAUACACAGUCUGUAAGACACUUUACAUGAAAGCCUUCUUUUGGUAGAUAGAACAGUUUGUAAAAAUUGGAGUGGCAUGUUAUUUCACUAAACUAUUGUGAAAUCAUGUUAUAAGGCAUGGUAGUUAUGCUUCAAAGCAAUGUUCUUUUUAGCUGCCUCAAAUCCUCUUUUUUUUUUCCUGUAUAUAUCUUAUAUAAGUGAGUCCUUUUAGGGUAUCAGAACAGUGCGUCAUUAGACAUGUAUUUCAUGAAGAUGUAUAGAAAUAGAUAAGGAGUGAAAGUAUUUGAUUUUUUUAGAAGUUAUUCUAAAACAUACAUGAUUAAAAUGAGUACAUAUUUUACCCUGUGA